rnacentral:lncRNA from 1 species
CCUAAUAGCCGAUGUGAUGAAUGUGAAAGUGUAUAUAUGUGAUAAGGCCUAAUGGCCGAUGCGAUGAAUGUGAAAGUGUAUAUAUGUGAUAAGGCCUAAUGGCCGAUGUAAUAAAUGUGAAAGUGUAUAUAUGUGACAGGGCCGAGUGGCCAACGUAAUGGAUGUGAAAGUGCAUAAAUGUGAUAAGUCCCGAAAGGCAUUUGUGUCAGUACUAUAUCCGGGUUAAAACCCCGCAGGCUUUAUGCGAGAAUAUUAUCACUGAUUAAUGUUCUUAAGCUUCGUGCUUGUACUAUAUCCGAGCUCUAAAGACCCGAUGACUACGUGUGGGGAUUUUGUCCGGAUAAGACCCGAUAACUUCGUGUGGAGAUUAUGUCCGGGUAAGACUUCGUAAUAAGAAUUGCUUAUAAAUAUAUUCAAUGCGAAAGGUUAAACAGGUAUGUACUUCAAGUUUAUAUGUGAGCUUGAUUUGCACUAAAUCAUAAGGUAGUUAUGUGAUGCAUACGAAAGCAAUCUAUGAGACUAUUCCUAUGAUUAUGUGACAUCGGAUCAGUGUGAGAGGUGAUGUGAAAUCAUACGAUAUAUCUAUGUCACAUGAGUUCACUUUUAUGUGAAAGUUUAUCUGCCUAUUGUAUAUGAUGAGAUGUGCAGAUUCGGUAAAGGGAUGGUAUGCCCGAAGGAAGAGUGAAAUAAAAAUACGAACAACUAUGUUAUAAUUUGAUUGUUAUCUGUUGACACUGCUUAAAACUUACUAAGCAUUGUAAUGCUUACUCCGUUUACUCUGUUUCCUCUAUUUUAUAGAUCUCAUUGCGAAGCUACAGGCUCGGGGAUCGUCAGCAACUAGUCACACUAUCACUAUCCACUGUUUGGUACUGCUAUGUUUCGGAUUGUCUUAUGGCAUGUAUAAAAUAGACUAGUGGCGGAAGAAUAUUUUGGUUAAUGUAUAUAGCCAUGCGAAAAUGGCUUAUAUAUGUUUGAGCAUAAUGUUAUAAUCAUUUGGUAUGGAAUGGUUAAUCGCUAUCAUGAUUUGUGCUAUUUAUGCUAAAAGGGCUAGUUGAAUCAUGGAAACUAUGAAAUAGGUAAAGUCUACCUUAAAGGCAGAUGCUGGCAGCAGCAGUGAUGUAGAUUUGGAAAAUCACUAAAAAUAGUAGGAUUGGAAUUAAAUAGCGAAUAAAUUAUGUAAACGAACCCUGAUGAAUCUAUUUUCAUAGGAAAGUAACGAAAUGAUCAUAUGGACAGUAUGUUAAGAGAUAUUCAGGUUCUCGUGAGAAAGCGCCAGAACGGUUUCUGGAUUCCCUGUUACGACUUUGGAAAUUCAUUAUAAAUUAACCAGAGAUAAUUAGGAGUCAUUCCACAUAUGUAUGGAUUCUUCUCUGAGUCUAGUUUCUAUAUAAACAAACGGCAUCAGUAUUGAAACCCUGUGUAGGGAGAUAUCCAAGUCGUAAUGCGCAAAGGUCAGUGUAGUCGAUCCCUGUAACAUGGGAGACUUUGACUAAUAAACUGUACUAAUUGGCCUGACCAAAAAUUCUAAAAAAAAAUAUGUAGAUGGGCAUAUGAGUCUAGUUUGAGGGAAAAAUUACGAAAUUGAUUUUCAAGUUGUGAAACUCAAGAUAUGAUUUUUAAAGCGACUAGUAUGCAGAUUGGCAGUGUCUGGGAAUUUUUUUUUAUAAGUGGUUAAAGUCUGCUAACACCUCGUGUUCGACUCCGGUGACGGUCUCGGGUUCGGGGUGUUACAUUUGAUUGGUAUCAGAGCUACGGUUUAGUCGAUUCUAGGACUAACGUAGCACGCGUGAGUCUAUUUAUACAUGCCAUAAAGUGAUAAAAUGAUAGUGUGAUGAUUUUUUAGCUAUUAAAAUGUGUUUGCUGUAUUGUAAUGAAUCUUGAUCCCGAUCGAGCUGUAGCAAGCUUCUGACUAUGAGAAUUUGCGAUAUAACUUCAUUUAGAUAUGCCUAAAUUAUUAAGUUGAUCAGGUACGUAUCAUGUACUCGUAUUUGAAUUUCGAUUUGGAUUGAAUUAUAAGGGUAUAAGUGAUGCAAUUUUGAAGGAGUGUUAUGACUAUAAAUGUGAUUUUUGUAUGUGGCUAUGGAACUGGAAGUUGAAUGGUCGAUAAGCAUGUUGUGUUUGUAUUCAUGUAAUGUAAAUGAUAUACUAAUGUGUAUUGCUAUAUGUGUAUAUGUAUGUAGAGACGAAAUUGUCGAAUGUAAAAAGGCAGUGAAGUGUAUAGAGUGGUUGGUUUUCAGCACUAAGUGUGCGGGAAAUAAGUGUUCACGGUUGUGAGAUUGGCACUAAGUGUGCGGGCAAUAAGUGUUCACGGUUGUGAGAUUGGCACUAAGUGUUCACGGUUGUGAGAUUGGCACUAAGUGUGCGGGCAAUAAGUGUUCACGGUUGUGAGAUUGGCACUAAGUGUGCGGGCUUGAAAUGCAUGGCACUAAGUGUGCGAGUUUAAAGUACAUGGCACUAAGUGUGCGUGGUUGAUUAUUAAGCACUAUGUGUGCGAACCCACUAUAUAUAUACAUAUUUUCUAUCAAUUAUUUAUAUUACGGGUGCGACCUUACCGAGUCGAUUUCGGACAGCGAAAAGGGGUAAGUUCUUGAGUAAUAGAGCUUAAAUUAUGAUUUGAUUAGAUCAUGUUUUAAGCAAAUCAAAAUCAUGCUCUUUGUGUAUGGCUAUUGAGCCGAAAUUGCAAGAAUGAUAAGUGUCUUGUGUUUGAGUUUUGCUAACGAAAAUGAAAUACGAAUGUGCCAUGAUUUGUUGUUAAAUGUGCAUGGUUAUUUGAAUGAUGUCCGGGCUAAGUCCCGAAGGCUUUGUGCUAAGUGACCAUAUCCGGACUAAGACGCGAAGGCAUUGGUGCGAGUUACUAAAUCCGGGCUAAGUCCCGAAGAGCAUUCAUGCUAGUGAUGUAUUCGGGCUAAGUCCCGAAGAGCAUUCAUGCUAGUGAUGUAUCCGGGCUAAGUCCCGAAGAGCAUUCAUGCUAGUGAUGUAUCCGGGCUAAGUUCCGAAGAGCAUUCGUGCUAGUGAUAUAUCCGUGCUAAACCCCGAAGAGCAUUCGUGCUGGUGUUAUGUCCGGGCUAGGUCCCGAAGAGCAAUCAUGCUGGUGACGUGUAUUCGGGCCUUCGUGCCUAGUAGGCUUCGUGCCGGUAAUUUGAGCAAAGUUUAAGUAUUCAUUACUAUACGAAUUCAAAUUUAAAUGAGAUGAUAUGUUUAAAAGUGUUCAUACAUGAUGUUUAUAGACUUGGUUAAGUCAUUUCAAUGUGUAAUAACGAAUGAAUAAGAGCACUAUGUGUGUGAAUGAUUAGAGGCACUGUGUGUGUGCGAAUUCCUUUAACCGAGCACUAUGAGUGCGAGAUCGGUCAGUGGGCACUAAGUGUGUGAAGUGGAAUUCAUGUAAGACCUCGUUUGGGACGAAGGCAUUGAUUUGAGAUAGUGUGUAAGACCAUGUCUGGGACAUGGCAUCGGCUCGAUAUGUGAGAAUAUGUAAGACCAUAUCUAGGAUAUGGCAUUGUAAGAGCUAUAUGUACUAUUGCUGAAUGGACACUAUUUUGUUAAUCUUGUUUAAGAAAUUAUUUUGAUUAAGUUUCGACAUUCGAAAGUUUGAAAGAAUUUUUGAUGAAUGUUGAUAAUUUUUGAUAUACGAGUUAUGUGCUAGAAUAAAUCUCAUGCCAGUGUAUUAUAUUAGGCUUUAUGCCUAUUCGACUGUAUACGGGUAACGUUAACUAUGAUUGAAUGUGCUAAAUGAACUAAAUGUUCAGGUACGUGGAAGUUGACUUUUCUUUUGGAAAUGAGUUAAGUUGAAUAUUGAGAUGUGAUAGAGUUAUAAAGGAUAUUUAUUGGGAUGUUUGAGUAUAUGUGUACUUUCGGUUAGGUUACAGCUUAUUCAUGAAUGAAAAUGUGGGUUACAAAUAUGUGGGUUGAUAAUGUGAAUUAUACAUGUUAAUAUGUGUUUGAAAUGCAUUUGUGAAUUAAGUUAAGUGAUUAUUGCUUAUGAAAUCAAGAAAAUGAGAUAUUUGUGCAUACUUGUAGAAAUGUUUAUGUAUUUGUUUUAAGAUAAGAAAAUGAUUUUAUAGACCGAUGCGAAAUCAAUAAUGAAUUAUAAUUGCUAUCAAUGAGCUAAUGUCUUUGUGGAUAUAAUUCAAUAAGAGGACGUUAUCCUAAACUAUGCAUUGGUAGAAAUUUUCGGGGACGAAAAUUUCUUAAGGGGGGGAGAGUUGUGACACCCCUAAAGUGACCCUAGUCGGAAAGUGGUUUCGGGACCACUAAACCGAGUCAUAAAGAUAAUUAACCGUCAUAGUUGAUGCUCAUUAUAUGUACAUAUGCAUGUGUGAAAAUUUCAUGUUUGAAUUUUAUUAAUGGUAAGUGAAUUUUAUCAAAUAGGACUUAUGUGAGAAAAUUUGAAAAUGUGCUAGGCAAAUGUAAAGUGGCCUAAUAAUGCAUGUUGUGAAAUGAUGGGUUUGCAUGUCAAAUUCCCCACUUUAGAGGAAGUGGCCGGCCAUGAGGGUAUGGGAUACAAAGCAUAUGCAUUUUGUAUUAAUAUUAUAAUGACUACAUGGUUUUAUAAUAGGAAAUAAGUAUUAAAAAAAACAUAUUAAAGACAUUUUAUGCUAAUAUGUGUGGGAAGAAUAAUAAAAUAUGAGGGGAGUGGGAGGAGAAACCAAAGUUGUCUCCCCUUACUCCCCAUUGCCGUGACUAGAGAAAGGGGAGGAAAAACAAAAUUCUUCCUUUUUUGUUCAACAUGGCCGAAUGGAAGGAAGAAGAAGAGGGGAAGUUCGGCCAAGGUGGUUCUUGAGAUUAAGGUAUGUUCAAUGUUGCUUUUGGAGGUUUACACAUCCUUUGGAGGGUUAGCCUACUUCUAUUUAUCUCAUGGAUGAAAUUAGAGUUGUUGGAGAGUUAGGAUUCGGCUAAGAGGCUUCAAAAUUUUAGUUGAUGCCUUGAUACUACUAGCAUGUUAGCUAUAUGGAUGUGUUAAAUUACUUGAAAUGCUAGAUAAAUUUGAACUCCCUACCAAAUUCUUUAGGCAACCCAUGUUAGAAAUUUCGGUAUUGAGAUGUCUAGAUCUUUCGGCCAUUGUAGCUAUGGAGGAAUAAAGUUUUUGUUUCUUGUUAAAUUGGAUGAAUCUUGUUGUAUGAGUGCUUAAACAAACUAUGAUUAAAUGGAUGCAUAAAUUCAAAGUGGGAAGAAAUGGGCUAUUAUAUUUGAUGCUAAUGCCGAAUAUGAAGAUGAUGAACUUGAAUAAAUAAUAUUCAGCUAGCAUGAUAAGUUAUGAAAUAUUAAGUAGAUGAUAUAAUUGAUUGAUGAAGUGGCUAAUAAGGAUUUCUAAUGAAAUUGUUGCCAAGGCCGAAUGUAUCAUGAAGUAAAUUUGUUUGAUUUAGCUCAAGAGCCUAGAGGAUCAAAGUUGGAUAAGGGAAAGGAAAAAAGUGAUCGAAGAGCCGUCGUAAUCGUUCGGCAACUUCCGAGGUAAGUUUUAAGUGUUUAAACGUUGAGUAAAUUCAAUUAUAAUAAGACGUGAUGAGCUGAUUUAAUAAGAUAUGAUGUGGCCAUGAUAUGUUCUAAGCUCAAAUGGUAAGUUCUUAAGUGUUUGAGCUUGGGAAUUUAAAGGUAAUUUGAAAUAGUCUGCUUCGGACAGUAGCAGUAACGUGAAUUUAGAAAAUCACCAUAAAUUUAUGGACUUGAAUUAGAGGCUGAAUGAGACAUGAAAUUAAAUCUUAAUGAGUCUAGUUUUUUAUAAAAGAAACCGUGUAAGCAAAGGAAUUUCCGAUAAUGAGAUAUUUAAAGUUGUGUGAGACGGUGUCAGAAUGACUCUGAAAUCCCCUGUUCUGUUUUUAGAAAAUCAUUAUAAAUUGUACAAAAAUGGUUAUAAGAUAAAAUUUAUAUGCUUAAACUCCUUAAUGAGUCUAGUUUCAAAUAAAAUCAAAUACAACACAUUUUGAAUUCUGUAAAAUGAGAAAUUUGAUUCGUAGUGAAGAGUGGUCAGAUUAGUCAAACAGUGGAACAGGGGAAACUUUAAGAAAAAUCUGGUAUUGAUUGGCCAAACCUAAAAUUCUGGAAAUUUUAUGGAUGGAAUAUAUACGAGUCUAUAUUCAAGAAAAAUUAACGGAAAGUGAUUUGGAGUUUUGUAGCUCCAGUUAUAAAUGAUUUAGUAACUAUUGCUCAGGAAAAACAGCUUGUGCUGAAUUUGAGAUUGUGUUGUAAACUUUGAUAAGCUUGUUCUAGUUGCUCAUAAGCUAUCGAUUAAACCCAUAUAUGAAUUCUAAAUUGUGAUAUUGGAAAAUGAUAGAUGUAGAUUCAGCCAAGAGAGUAUGUGUGAUAAGGCCUAAUAGCCGAUGUGAUGAAUGUGAAAGUGUAUGUAUAUGUGAUAAGGCCUAAUGGCCGAUGUGAUGAAUGUGAAAGUGUAUGUAUAUAUGUGAUAAGGCCUAAUGGCCGAUGUGAUGAAUGUGAAAGUAUAUGUAUAUAUGUAAUAAGGCCUAAUAGCCGAUGUGAUGAAUGUGAAAGUGUAUAUGUGUGAUAAGGCCUAAUAGCCGACGUGAUGAAUGUGAAAGUUUAUGUGUGAUAAGGCCUAAUAGCCGAGGUGAUGAAUGUGAAAGUGUAUGUAUAUAUGUAAUAAGGCCUAAUAGCCGAUGUGAUGAAUGUGAAAGUGUAUGUAUAUAUGUAAUAAGGCCUAAUAGCCGAUGUGAUGAAUGUGAAAGUGUAUAUGUGUGAUAAGGCCUAAUAGCCGACGUGAUGAAUGUGAAAGUGUAUAUAUGUAAUAAGGCCUAAUUGCCGAUGUGAUGAAUGUGAAAGUGUAUAUAUAAGAUAAGGCUUAAUGGCCGAUGCGAUGAAUGUGAAAGUGUAUUUGUGUGAUAAGGCCUAAUAGCCGACGUGAUGAAUGUGAAAGUGUAUAUGUGUGAUAAGGCCUAAUAGCCGACGUGAUGAAUGUGAAAGUGUAUAUAUGUAAUAAGGCCUAAUGGCCGAGGUGAUGAAUGUGAAAGUAUAUAUAUGUGAUAAGGCCUAAUGGCCGAUGUGAUGAAUGUGAAAGUAUAUGUAUAUAUGUAAUAAGGCCUAAUAGCCGAUGUGAUGAAUGUGAAAGUGUAUAUAUGUGAUAAGGCCUAAUGGCCGAUGCGAUGAAUGUGAAAGUGUAUAUAUGUGAUAAGGCCUAAUGGCCGAUGUAAUAAAUGUGAAAGUGUAUAUAUGUGACAGGGCCGAGUGGCCAACGUAAUGGAUGUGAAAGUGCAUAAAUGUGAUAAGUCCCGAAAGGCAUUUGUGUCAGUACUAUAUCCGGGUUAAAACCCCGCAGGCUUUAUGCGAGAAUAUUAUCACUGAUUAAUGUUCUUAAGCUUCGUGCUUGUACUAUAUCCGAGCUCUAAAGACCCGAUGACUACGUGUGGGGAUUUUGUCCGGAUAAGACCCGAUAACUUCGUGUGGAGAUUAUGUCCGGGUAAGACUUCGUAAUAAGAAUUGCUUAUAAAUAUAUUCAAUGCGAAAGGUUAAACAGGUAUGUACUUCAAGUUUAUAUGUGAGCUUGAUUUGCACUAAAUCAUAAGGUAGUUAUGUGAUGCAUACGAAAGCAAUCUAUGAGACUAUUCCUAUGAUUAUGUGACAUCGGAUCAGUGUGAGAG